GGAACGAACGCUGGCGGCGUGCUUAACACAUGCAAGUCGAACGGUGACGGAGAGCUUGCUCUCCUGAUCAGGUGGCGAACGGGUGAGUAACACGUGGGCAACCUCGCCCAGACUUCGGGAUAACGCUUCGAAAGAGGUGCUAAUACCGAAUACGAACCUCCCUGGCAUCUGGGAGGUUGGAAAGUUUUUCGGUCUGGGAUGGGCCCGCGGCCUAUCAGCUUGUUGGUGAGGUAACGGCUCACCAAGGCGACGACGGGUAGCCGGCCUGAGAGGGCGACCGGCCACACUGGGACUGAGACACGGCCCAGACUCCUACGGGAGGCAGCAGUGGGGAAUAUUGCGCAAUGGGCGAAAGCCUGACGCAGCAACGCCGCGUGAGGGAUGACGGCCUUCGGGUUGUAAACCUCUUUCAGCAGGGAAGAAGCGAAAGUGACGGUACCUGCAGAAGAAGCACCGGCUAACUACGUG
rnacentral:rRNA from 1 species